CCUACGGGAGGCUGCAGUGAGGAAUAUUGGUCAAUGGGCGAAAGCCUGAACCAGCCAAGUCGCGUGAAGGAUGACGGCCCUAUGGGUUGUAAACUUCUUUUAUCCGGGAGCAAUUGAGUCCACGUGUGGGCUUAGCGAUAGUACCUGAAGAAAAAGCAUCGGCUAACUCCGUGCCAGCAGCGGCGGUAAUACGGAGGAUGCGAGCUUUAUCCGGUUUUAUGGGGUUUAAGGGGUGCGUAGGCGGAAGAUCAACUUAGCGUGAAAUAUUCGGGGCCCAACCCGGUCGUGCCGCGGAAACUGGCGUGCUUGAGUGCGCGGGAAGCAGGCGGAAUGCGUCGUGUAGCGGUGAAAUGCUUAGAUAUGACGAAGAACCCCGAUUGCGAAGGCAGCUUGCUGGAGCCGAACUGACGCUGAUGCACGAAAGCGCGGGUAUCGAACAGGAUUAGAUACCCGGGUAGUC
rnacentral:rRNA from 1 species